CAGCUAGUUGGUGGGGUAAAAGCUCACCAAGGCGACGAUCUGUAGCUGGUCUGAGAGGACGACCAGCCACACUGGGACUGAGACACGGCCCAGACUCCUACGGGAGGCAGCAGUGGGGAAUUUUGGACAAUGGACGCAAGUCUGAUCCAGCCAUGCCGCGUGCGGGAAGAAGGCCUUCGGGUUGUAAACCGCUUUUGUCAGGGAAGAAAUCCUUUGAAAUAAUACUUCGGAGGGAUGACGGUACCUGAAGAAUAAGCACCGGCUAACUACGUGCCAGCAGCCGCGGUAAUACGUAGGGUGCAAGCGUUAAUCGGAAUUACUGGGCGUAAAGCGUGCGCAGGCGGUUCUAUAAGACAGAUGUGAAAUCCCCGGGCUCAACCUGGGAACUGCAUUUGUGACUGUAGAGCUGGAGUGCGGCAGAGGGGGAUGGAAUUCCGCGUGUAGCAGUGAAAUGCGUAGAUAUGCGGAGGAACAC
rnacentral:rRNA from 1 species